rnacentral:rRNA from 1 species
UACAGAGGACCCAAGCGUUGUUCGGAUUCAUUGGGCGUAAAGGGUGCGUAGGCGGCGCGGUAAGUCGGGUGUGAAAUCUCGGGGCUUAACUCCGAAACUGCAUUCGAUACUGCCGUGCUUGAGGACUGGAGAGGAGACUGGAAUUUACGGUGUAGCGGUGAAAUGCGUAGAUAUCGUAAGGAAGACCAGUGGCGAAGGCGGGUCUCUGGACAGUUCCUGACGCUGAGGCACGAAGGCCAGGGGAGCAAACGGG